rnacentral:tRNA from 1 species
GCCUGGAUGGCUCAGUCAGUUAAGCGUCCGACUUCCGCUCAGGUCAUGAUCUUACGGUUUGUGGGUUCGAGCCCCGCGUCAGGCU